rnacentral:rRNA from 1 species
UACGUAGGUGGCAAGCGUUGUCCGGAAUUAUUGGGCGUAAAGCGCGCGCAGGCGGUCUUUUAAGUCUGAUGUGAAAGCCCACGGCUCAACCGUGGAGGGUCAUUGGAAACUGGGAGACUUGAGUGCAGAAGAGAAGAGUGGAAUUCCACGUGUAGCGGUGAAAUGCGUAGAGAUGUGGAGGAACACCAGUGGCGAAGGCGACUCUUUGGUCUGUAACUGACGCUGAGGCGCGAAAGUGUGGGGAGCAAACAGG